CAGUAGCCACGGUAAUACGGAGGGCGCGAGCGUUACCCGGAUUUACUGGGCGUAAAGGGCGUGUAGGCGGCCUGGGGCGUCCCAUGUGAAAGGCCACGGCUCAACCGUGGAGGAGCGUGGGAUACGCUCAGGCUAGAGGGCGGGAGAGGGUGGUGGAAUUCCCGGAGUAGCGGUGAAAUGCGCAGAUACCGGGAGGAACGCCGAUGGCGAAGGCAGCCACCUGGUCCACUUCUGACGCUGAGGCGCGAAAGCGUGGGGAGCAAACCGGAUUAGAGACCCGUGUAGUCCCUGUCUCUUAUAC
rnacentral:rRNA from 1 species